rnacentral:rRNA from 1 species
GACGAACGCUGGCGGCGUGCCUAACACAUGCAAGUCGAGCGGAGUUGACAAGAGGAAGUUUUCGGAUGGAAUCUUGCCAGCUUAGCGGCGGACGGGUGAGUAACGCGUGAGCGACCAACCUUGCACAGGGGGAUAACGGACCGAAAGGUUCACUAAUACCGCAUGAGACCACGGUGUUGCAUGACACAGGGGUCAAAGGAGGAAUCCGGUGCAAGACGGGCUCGCGUCCGAUUGGGUAGUUGGAGGGGUAACGGCCCACCAAGCCUAUGAUCGGUAGCCGACCUGAGAGGGUGAUCGGCCACAUUGGAACUGAGAUACGGUCCAAACUCCUACGGGAGGCAGCAGUGGGGAAUAUUGGGCAAUGGGGGAAACCCUGACCCAGCAACGCCGCGUGAAGGAAGAAGGUUUUCGGAUUGUAAACUUCUGUCCUUGGCGAAGAGAAGAAGACGGUAGCCAAGGAGGAAGCCCCGGCUAACUACGUGCCAGCCGCCGCGGUAA